rnacentral:rRNA from 1 species
UACGUAGGUGGCAAGCGUUGUCCGGAUUUACUGGGCGUAAAGAGCGCGCAGGCGGUCGUUCAAGUCGCGUGUGAAAGCCCCCGGCUCAACUGGGGAGGGUCACGCGAUACUGAUCGACUCGAAGGCAGGAGAGGGAAGUGGAAUUCCCGGUGUAGUGGUGAAAUGCGUAGAUAUCGGGAGGAACACCAGUGGCGAAGGCGACUUCCUGGCCUGUUCUUGACGCUGAGGCGCGAAAGCUAG